GGCUAGGUCUUGGAGGCUGGUGUAAGGCGAUGCGGGUGAAGGCAGGAGGCUGAUGGAGAGACUGGGGGGAAGAAAAGCCGAAAUGGAUUCACGGUGCCUUGGAUGAAGGACGAGAGGGGAACUGCAAGCUCCUUCAACUGGUUCUGUCCGGUGAGAAGUGAUCAAGCUUGGGCUGACAAGAGGCUCAGGGAGCCCUCACGUUCUUUCGCUUUUUUACCUGCCAAUCAAACUGCUACAAGACAACACCCUGAUCUGGCAUGGACAUCGCGGGUCCAAGCCUGUAGCCCCAAAUCGGAUAAUCUCUGCAGCUGAUAACAAGCAAAAGAGAAGCCAGGCAACAGCCAUAUUAAAGAAGAAAACAGUCAACUCUGAGGAAGAAAUGUAAUGAAUUGAGUGCUGUCAGAGAUGUCUUCUGUUUGAACAAUCUGUGAUGGGCUGAAUGGCAGGGACUCCCUCAUCCAGUGCAGAUCCAACUUAGAAAUAAUGUUUCAUUCAAGAUAAGGCUCGUGGUUUAGGAGAUUGUGACCUGGCUUGCAUCAUUCUAAGACUUCUAUCGUCUGUUUUCAAAACCCAAGGAGGACCUCAUUUUCUGUGUGAUAGUUCCUCAUGCUUUGCCAGCCACUGGGUCUUUAAGGAAGCUUGCCAAGAGUUCCCGGCUGG
rnacentral:sRNA from 1 species